rnacentral:lncRNA from 1 species
AACCACUCUGAAUGAUGGGGCUCUAGCUACCAACUCCUUGGUGCUAGAACCCCAUUGCCGGGUUGUCCAAAUUUUUGGACAACCCAGCUUUUAAAAAUCGAACCUGCAAAACCAAAGGGGGGACAGAUCAAAAAAAUCCUAAAUCUACCAGCAGCAAGCUACCUAGCCACAAAAAAAAAAAAAAAAAGCAAUCCGAAAAGAACCAAAGAAAAGAAAGCCAAAGACCAAUGUUUGAACAAAGGGGGUUCGGGUAGUGGGUGAAAGGAGGUGAGUUGAUCUGUGUGGUUGUGUUCGGCUGGCGGUGAAUAGAGAAGAGGGUCCGGUCACAGGGGAGGUGUCGGCGCAGGGAAGGAAUCGGUGAAGGGAAACCGAUCGGAGGCAAUUAAGGGGUGUAGAUCUAGAUCCGAUUAAUGGGUUUUUGAGAGUAAUAUGGGGAUCUCGAGGUUAGAGAGAGUGUGAGGAAGCCGACGAGAGAUUUGGGAGAAGAGAGGGGAGGACGCCGACGCCGACGAAGAGAGGAAAGUUUUUUUAGAGAGAAGGCAGAGAGAAUGGCCGACUAAAGAGAGAAAAUGAAAGUUGAAAAUGAAUUGGAAAAAGCUAAAAAGGGGUUUUUAUACCCAGGUGUAAGAAAGCAAAACGGUGUCGUUUUAGUGGAGUGGCAGAAGUUGGAAGGUCUAGGCCCAAACGACGUCGUUUUGAGCGGCUCUACAGGCACCAAAUGGUGCGUUUUGAAUUCUGCCUUAUGGACCUCAGGAAGCAGAUCGGGUGUAGCAGAUUUGGGCUUCUGCGGGCCAUCAGGCUGGGCUAAUCCGAGCCCAAAAAGGUAUAACCCAUCUUCUUUGGUUUGGGCUUGUCUCAAUUAAUUUUGGGUUAGCCCAUUUGGUUAAAUAAAUUACAUUUUUAUUGUUAUGAUUUAAACCAUAUUAGGAAAAGUCAUUUAUAUAAAUGUAUAUAUAUAUUAUGGAUGCUUCUUUUAAUGCUAAAAAAUCAAAAAAUAAUAAUGAUAGUAAUAAUAAAAAAUAAUAGUAAAAUGCAUGGUUUAAAAAAAUUAAAAUAAGUAAAUAAAUAGAAAGAAAAUUCGUAAUAGAUUUAGUUUUUUUUUUAAGAAAUAAGUAUAGUAAUAAUGGUAAGUAAAUGAGAAGAAUAACAAAGGAAAAAUGAAAUGAUCGUUUGAAAAAUUUCACCUAAGAGAGGUAAAGAGUUACCUUUUCUAAGUGGAUUUCUUUUGAAUACGAAGCACGAGACGGAUUUUCACCGAAGCGUCGAGAUAAAUCCAAACUCUAAACUUCAAUACCCGUUAACUCGAAUAAUCGUCGCUAAAAUAAUAAAGAAAAAUAAAUCUACAUAAUGAUACAUUUAAAUCUAAGUUAGUGUAAUUAUUUAAUCAGCAAAUAAAUAUCAUUAAAAAAUUUUUUAAGUUAACCAUUAAUUAAUUGUUUAUUCGACAAGUUAUAUAAUCAAGUUAAAUGUUAAUCAACAAUGUUAAUUAAAAGAUAUGGAUCUAAAUAGAAAAUAAAAAAUUAAAAAAUAAUAAUAAUAAUAAACUAAAUAAAUAAUCCAUGAAAAAAAAUGACAAAAUAAAUAUAUAAAUAAGGUGAUAAAUUAUUAAACAUAUAAUCGGAUGAAUUAUGAACCGCUUAAGUCAAUAAACGCGUGCGUGUAGACAUCAUCACUUUAUUCUGUCAUAGCAUGCCACAUUUAUCUUGCAAAUGGUGCGAGAGUUCCGAUGAUGGGAUUUCCCCGAAGAGCUUGUAGAGACAAGUUCUUCCGGGGAUAUCUCUAAGUAAGGAGAAUUUCGAGACUUGACCAAAACGUUGGGAUGGUCUUCAAAUAAUUUUUCAAUAAAAGAUUACCGACCUCAUUAUUUAAAAUAAACGAGUCAUGACAUCAUUUUACGCUUACAUCACGUGCAUACGUAAAACCAAAUAAAAGAUUCAAGCAGUCAGUUUAAUAAAAAUUUAGUUAAUAAGUAGGGAAUAAAUCAAAAGUAGGCUAUAAUAGGAUAACUUAAGAUUAAAUGGUACCGUUCGUGGAACGAGCGCCACGGAGGUGCUAACCCUUCUCCGUGCGUAUCCGCACUCCCGAACCCAUCUCUAAAAAACGUGGAUCAGUUUUCGUUUUUUCGACGGACCUAAAAUUAAUUUAGGACUUUGUCGAUUAGAAUCGAGUUAAUAGGUGACCAAUCACACCUAGAUAAAAAAAAAGAUUGGUGGCGACUCCUAAACCGAUUUAUUUUCGCCAACGUCUAGAGGACGGGUUCCCGGAUCCACACGUUAUGACAGAUGGCGACUCCACUAGGGAGCAAUUUAAUUUACGUCGACGUCUAGCGGUCGGGUUCUCGGACCCGCAUGUUACUACAGAUGGCGACUCCAUUGUGGAGCAAUUUAAUUUUCGUCGGCGUCUAGCGAUCGGGUUUUCGAACCCACACAUUACAACAGAUGGCGACUCCACUGGGGACAUCGAGUCGAGCCAUUAAUUAAUCAUAAGUUAUCUUAAGCCUUAAAUAAUUUGUUGUUUUCCCUAGCAUCAAUUUUGCAUAUUUUUGUUUAAUGCAUUCAGUUAUUUUGUUAUUUUUACUUCACUAUUUUUAAUAACUGCGAAAAAUUUAGGAUAAGGGGAGUGAAAUUAUUGGUCCGAGGUCAGUAUAUUCCUUCUCACACACUACACAUCUUGCAUUCAUGCAUAAGCCUUCCACCCGGGUUUUGUCCUUAAUUAGGAGGGAGUUAAGUAGCUACGCUCUCGUGAGGUGAUAACCUCCGCAUGGGCUAGUGAAGACUCCCACUCAGAUCGAACUUAGUCCGUUUGAAGCCUAUAAUGGGUGAGGCCCGAGAUGCCUUACUAGUCCGUGUGGGCGACAGUGAGGAGCGAUUUGGGAACCUUUAGCUCUAUUUUCAACCCAAACUCAGCAUGUUAAAUACCGAGAGUUACCUUUGCUUAGGUAGAGCUUCACCCGUGAGAAUAUACCUUUUGACUAGGUACACAUGAAGGAAUUUUCAUAAUCCCCUUAUUCUAAAUUCUUCUCCGUGAAGUAACAAAGGUAUCGUGUUAUUAAUUAUUCAUCUUUUGGAAUUCUUGUUUACGGUACUGACUUAAACUUUUUGCCAUAUGCAUGUUUGCAUCAUAAUUUUGCAUAUAGGAAAAGUAUUUGUCACUUGACAACCGUUGACAGAGUAGAUCCAAUUGCAUACAUGGAGUCAUCAUGGCCACCUUCAGGCUACGAUGGAAUAUACGAAGUGACUCAGCACAUGGUGAGUGCCAAGCAAAGUGAGGGAGAUUGCUUGUCAGAGCAUCAUAUCUCAUCACUGCCUGAUAGGGUCCACCUUGAUCUUAAACAAAAUGACUUCACCGAUUUGCUCGACAUAUGGGAUAAGUGGGGGGCCACCACUCGGGCGAAUUUCUAUAGAAAAUAUGGCCACAUAGCUCAACUCCUUAAGGUCUAGAUUGAUGAACAGAUAUUGAAGGCCAUUGUGCAAUUUUGGGAUCCGUCGUAUAGGUGUUUCGUGUUUAAUAAGGUGGAUAUGGUCUCCACAAUCGAAGAGUACUCGACUCUCCUACAAAUUAACCUUGAUAAUUCGAACAAGAUAUAUUGGAGAGGACAAAAGACCGGACACAGGCGAAAGUUAGCCAAGAUGAUGGGUAUUACCCCGACAGAAGUCGACCAAAACCUAAGAAAAAAAGGGGACAAUGAAUGUAUCCCAUGGAGUUUCCUACGUAGCUAUAUCAUGAAGCAUCGGGACACCGAGCAAGGAUAGCUUGUGAUGGCCUUGAAAAUUUAUGGGCUAGUGAUCUUUCCCAAAGUCUUGGGACAUAUAGAGGUCGAAAUUAUAGAUUUCUUCGAGCAAGUCAUCAACAAGGCCAACCCUUCACCCUUUAUUCUAGCAAAAACUCUCAGAUCACUGAAUUAUUGUCGAAGAAAGGGGGAAGGACGAUUUGUGGGAUGUGCACAGCUUCUUUCCAUCUGGAUAGUAAGUCACUUUGAAUGCAAGGUCGAGAAGUUCAAGAAGCCAUUUCAUCCGCGAACUAGCCCUAUCAGAGAAUUUUAUGAGAGUGAAUGGCCAGAAAAUAGGACUAAGGAGCAAUGGAUCUCUAGACUUCGGGAACUCAUGAGUGUGGAAGUAACAUGGAGAGCUCCGUGGAUGCCGCAUCACCCGAUCUUGUACAAAAGCGGAAAUGAAUCGUGGGUAACAUUAAUAGGGCCAUGGGGAGCAAUCAGCUACGCCCCAAUUAUGGUGAGAAGAUAAUUUGGGUCAGAGCAGUUUGUGCCGAUGACACACCGACUUAAUACUUUGGAGUUUGCUUAUGGAGAGUCUGAUUUUCUGAAAAGGAUUGAGGAAAUUGCACAAGCCUGGAAGAAAACUAGCCGAGUUGACCAAGGGAGGUACACCGAUGAAGUGACUACCGGAUAUCAGAUAUGGCAUGACCAACGAGUUAAGGAUGUGGUAUAUCCGAAAGAAGAUGCACUGCGUGACCCAGUUGAUCCAGAACCACGAGACGCUUUGCUCGAAAGUGAGUUGGCUCGAAAAAAAUCUGAAGCUAAAAAUGCCAGUUGGAGGCAAUAGUAUGAAGACCUCCAAAAAAAGUGUGAGAAAAUGAAAAGAAAAGUAAUUGAACAAAGAAAGAAGGUCCGAAAAAUAAAAGGGAAGUAUGAGAGCCUGAAUGAUAAGUUUUCUACCACAACUAGUGAACUUCAAAGGGAAAUACAAGUGAAAGAAAAUUGAGGCAAUGAACUUCAAGCGUACAAUGAUGGACUAAUAAAUCAAGUGCGAUUUCAACAAGAGUCCAUCCAAUUACUAAGACAGGAGUGUGAAGAGCUCGAAGGGGCCAUGACGACUUAUCAACAAGAAUAUGAACGCCUCAAGCAAUAGAGCACCAGAAUUCAAGAGUGGGGUGAAUCCUACAGACAAGCUUAUACAGAGAAACACGACCAGAUGGAUUACUUGGUUUGGCAAAUGAGGGAGGUGGCUUACAAGGCGAGAAGCAUGGCUUGGAAGACGAACAUUUUAAGGAGCCAUGUCUUUCCAGUUGGAAAACAAGAGCAACAGUUGAUUAAGUAUUUAGAUGAGGUGUAUAGCCAUUAUAAUAAAAUUGACGAACAUUUCUAGAUGACUCCUGAGUUGUAAUCAAAGACAAUAUCUUAUGCAAUGGAUGACUUUGUUGUUGGGUGUCAUGUGACGAAUACUUUUAGUACAUAAUCAUUCAUACAUGCAUAAAUCAUCAUUUCAUGACAAUAAGUAUUUUCAUCUAAAAAUAAAGAUAAUAGGUUCAUUUUUUCAUUCAUACAUCGAAUAUGCAUCUAAUUCAUGUUUAUGAUUACAAUAAGGUUCCAAAAAUAGCUCGACCACCUAAGCCAAGUGACCAACGUGUUCAUAAUAUGCGUCAACGAGCAAGGAUCAUGGAAGAAGAACAAAGAGAGCGAAUGGAUAGAAUGGAAAAAGUUCAAGAAGAAAUGAGAGAACAGUUAGCAAAGAUGAUGGAAUUGAUGACAAGCUUAAGUAAAGGAAAAAGAGUUGCGGAAGAGUCAGCUCCGUCAAAAAACCCACCAGCUCAAGACACUGGAAACCAAAGGGAUGAUCCACCUUAUCCCCCAAGGUUCACUCCACCACAUGCCCAAACCUCUCAAAGGGUCCACCCUCAAGCAAUGUCAUCCGUUUAUUACAAUGCACCACCCCCGAUGGGCCAUCAACCGACUCAUAGGCAAUUCAGGCCGUAUUCUGGGAUAAAUCCUGCUGAACCAAUACACAUCCCAGAUUUAGACGAUCCAAAAGAGCAAGAGAAACUAAGAAAAGAGUCAUCACAAAUAGGAGAAAAUGAAAAAGAUAAAAAAAAAGUACGAUUUGUUGGAAGAGUGUCUUCGUGCUAUCGAAGGAGUUGAUAGGUUCGGUAUCAUGGAUGCAACCAAGCUAUGCUUAGUGCCUGAUGUACUGAUCCGGGCCAAGUUCAAAGUUUCGAAAUUUGAAAAGUACGAUGGAACAAAGUGUCCUAUGGCACAUAUCACUAUGUAUUGUCGGAAGAUGGCUGCACAGUCUCAUGAUGACAAGCUAUUGAUCCAUUUUUUCCAAGACAGCUUGACUAGGUCAGCUGCUCGGUGGUACGUACAGUUAGACCGAAAUCAUAUUAAGACUUGGAAAGACCUAGCAAGAGCCUUCAUAGCCCAAUACAAGCAUGUGGUUGAAUUAGCCCCUGAUCAGUUGUCAUUGCAGACCAUGGAAAAGAAACAAAGCGAGAACUUCAAGGAAUACGCCCAAAGGUGGAGAGAUACAGCAACGCAAGUUCAGCCACCUCUCACUGAUAAGGAAAUGACUGUGUUGUUCAUAAACACACUCCGAGCUCCAUUCUAUGAGCGCUUGAUCGGCAAUGCCACAAAAAACUUUACGGAUUUGGUCUUAUCGGGAGAAAUAAUAGAAGGAGCUAUCAAAAGUGAAAAAAUUGACGGGCUUGAAGUUGCUAGCUCAAAGAAAGGGAAUACGCCCAAAAAAAAAAGUAAGGGAUGUGCAAACAGUCGCUCACGACAGCCAACAAGCCCACAACUUUAACCCAUAUUACCCGUACCCCCCAUACCAACCCUUUUAUCCAAACAUAGGCAACAUCACACAAAACUCAUAUGUGUACCAACCUGCCCCACAGCCAACGUUUCAGACCAAUGUUCUUCCAUAAGCUCCACCACCAAGAUCGAUAGCUUCAACCAAUAAUUCUGGUCAUGGUCAAAGAGGACCUAAAACUAUCCUAGAAAAAUCAAAGUUUGAUCCUAUUCUAGUCCCUUACACUACAUUGUUGCCACAACUCAUAGAAAAUCGACUCCUUGCUCGAACCCCUUUAGAACCACUCCGACCACCUUUCCUGAAAUGGUCUGACCCGAAUGCGCAUUGUGAUUACCAUUUUGAAAUUCAAGGUCACUCCAUCGAGAAUUGUACUGCUUUAAAACAUAAAGUCCAAGCGCUCAUUAAGACAGGACUUUUAAAUUUUGCCAAAAAGAAUAGCUCAAGUGUUGAUGGGAAUCCUUUACCUAACCAUGGAAGACCGACAGUGAACGUCAUACAUGAAGGGAUGAUUCGAAAGGUGAAAAAGAGUAUUGAUGAGAUUCAAACGUCAAUGGAUAAAGUGUUUGAGGCGUUGUCCAAAAUAAAUGCCAUCACUCCAGAACCCAUAGACACAAAGGAAUUGGGGCAUGAUCUCGCUUAUUUUUGCAAAUUUUAUAUGGGGGCAAUUGGGCAUUCCAUUCAAAAUUGUGAUAGCUUUUGUUGUAAGUUGCAAGAAUUGAUGGAUUCAUCGGUAAUUGAGUUUUAUGAAGAAGUCAAAGAGAAUUUGGUCGGAACCAUAAAUGAAGACACCCCAGCUGAAGUGGCAUCAAGUUCAUUUGGGGUGAACAAACUUAAACCUCUCACCAUCUUCUAUGAAGAAAACAGGAGCCCGAUGAAUGAUACAUCCCCUAUUAUGAUCAGAAGUGGUAUCACCAUCGAAGUCCCCAGCCCGUUCCUUUACAAGAGCGAUAAGGCUAUCCCGUGAAAUUAUGAGUGUAAUAUUUUGGGCACAACUUCAUCCGCCCCCAAGCAUCUUUUGAAGAUCUAACUAGUGUGGGGGGUAUAACACAAAGUGGGCAAUGUUAUUCCCCCGAGAUAGCGAAAAUAGUUAGAAAAGGGAAACCCGCACAGGGAGAGGGAGGCCCAAAGGAAGCAGAUACCUUUUCCAAGGACCAAGUUGUCGAAUCUGUGGUUGCUCCGAACAAUGAGGUCAAAAGACCUGUUACCGAAAAAAAAGCUGGUGAAUUUCUCAAGUUUAUCAAACACAGUGAAUACAGUGUGGUAGAACAAUUAACCAGAAUGCCUGCUCGCAUCUCACUGUUGUCUUUGCUUUUGAAUUCGAAAGCACACAGGAACGCACUGCUUAAAGUCUUGAACCAAGCUUAUGUGGCACAAGAUAUAUCAGUGAAAAAGUUGGACCACAUCGUGGGGAACAUUACAGUGGGGAACUUCAUUGCCUUUAAUGAUGAAGAAAUUCCAUCGAGUGGUCAGGGAAGUAACAAAGCUCUGCACAUUACCAUCAAAUGCAAAGACCAUGCCGUACUUAGGGUCUUGGUCGACAAUGGUUUAGCUUUAAAUGUCAUGCCUCGCUUUACCUUAACCAAGUUGCCAAUAGAUGUAUCUUAUAUGAAAAUCAGCCACAUGGUUGUAAGGGCUUUCGAUGGGACUACAAGGGAGGUGGUAGAGGACAUUGAAUUACCAAUAAAAAUUAGCCCUUGCAUUUUUGAGGUCCAAUUUCAGGUCAUGGACAUUGCACCGUCUUACAAUUGCUUAUUAGGACAUCCAUGGAUUCAUAUGGCGGGAGCCAUACCAUCUUCCCUUCAUCAAAAAGUUAAAUUCAUAGUUGAGGGCCAAUUGAUAAAUGUAUCUGCAGAGGAAGACAUAUUGGCUAUUCAACCAUCAUCUACUCCUUAUGUAGAGGCGACAGAAGAGUCCCAAAAUGCUCUUUCAGAUCUUUUGAAUUUGUUAAUGCUACUUCUGUGGGAGAAAGAGAAGUGAUACCAACUCCUCGUUUGUCAAUAGCAACUAAAAUGGGGGUUAAGCAGACAGUGGGUAAAGGAUGCCGUGUCGGUUUGCGGUUAGGGAAGCAUUUGCAAGGAAUUGGCUAUCCUUUGACUCCAAUCAAGAAUGAGGAAAGGUUUGGUUUGGGGUAUAAACCUACCAAAGAAGAUAGAAGGAAAUUGACAGCUCGAAAGAAGAUUAAAAAUAUGGCUCAGCUUGAGGGAAAGGAAGAAGAAUUUGGGAAACGGACAAUUUCGCACUUAUAUGAGACUUUUCGCUCUGCAAGUUUCAUUCAUCCCGAAGCACCAACAAAGGUCAAUCAGGUUCUACGGAUGUUUGAUGAGCUACCAAUCUAUAUGAUCAAAGAUGAAGAACCUAACGAGAAGAUCCCUGUGGUGUAUCCAGUACUGCCGGGAGAGGAGUUAAGCAAUUGGACAGCCACGAAAUUGCCUAUCAUCUUUAAGUCUUCAGAAAUGUAAUGAACAAUUUUAUCUAAAUGCCUAUGCCCAAGGGUGUUAAGAGUAAUUUCUUGUUUAAGUAGGGCUUUCUGUUACCUUCAUCAUUUAAAUAAAUGACAAUGCAUAAUGUGUUUCAUAAUUCAUCAAUUUUUUUGCAUAUUUCCUUUCAUCUAUUCUUUUAGCCAAAUAAAUACUUACCCAUACACGCGUUAAAUUUUACCUGUUUGUAGGUCUUUAAAUAAUGAACACGAAGACAAUGAUUUGAAUAUCAAUUUUGAGAUGAUUCCGAACGUUGAUGAAUUGAAAAAUGAAAAGGAGGUGGAUGACUAUGGCUUACCCCCUGAUUUGUCGAGAAUGUUGAAACAGGAGGAAAGGGAGAUUUUACCUCAUUAGGAAUUCACAGAAAUAAUCAACCUCGAAAAUGGGGAAGAAAAGAAAAAGGUUAAGAUUGGCACCUCGCUGUCAUCUAAUGAGCGACAGAAGCUAGAAAAACUGCUCCGUGAAUAUGUGGAUGUGUUUACUUGGUCAUAUCAAGACAUGUCAGGUCCCAAUACUGACAUUGUCGUCCAUAAGUUGCCUUUGAGAUCGGACUGCAAGCCUAUUAAACAGAAGUUAAGAAGGAUGAAACUAGAAAUGUUGUUGAAGAUUAAAGAAGAAGUAAAAAAGCAAUUUGAUGUUGGAUUCUUAGAGGUGGCUAAGUAUCCUAAAUGGGUGGCUAAUAUAGUUCCAAUUCCUAAGAAGGAUGAAAAAGUUCGAAUGUGCGUCGAUUACAGGGAUUUGAACAGAGCGAGCCCAAAGGAUAGCUUCCUUUUGCCACAUAUCGAUACUCUUGUGGACAACACAGCAAAGCAUACUUUGUUCUCAUUUAUGGAUGGUUUUUCUGGUUACAAUUAGAUCAAGAUGGCACCCAAAGAUAUGAAAAAAAUAACAUUCGUAACCAUGUGGGGAACAUUUUGUUACAAAGUAAUGCCAUUUGGAUUGAAGAAUGCAGGUGCCACUUACCAAAGGGCAAUGGUAGCUUUGUUUCACGAUAUGAUGGAUAAAGAGAUAGAAGUAUAUGUGGAUGACAUGAUCGUAAAAUCUCAUAGAGAAAAGGAUCAUACUAUCAAUCUCAAGAAGCUGUUCGAGAGAUUGCGAAAGUUUCAGCUCAAGUUGAAUCUUGCAAAAUGCACUUUUGGUGUAACUUUUGAGAAAUUGUUGAGGUUCAUAGUAAGUGAAAAAGGAAUUGAAGUAGACCCGGAUAAGAUACGAGCUCUUCAAGAGCUGCCACCUCCCAAAACACAAAAAGAAGUGAGAGAAUUUUUAGGGAGGUUGAAUUACAUUGCCCGAUUUAUAUCCCAACUCACCUGCAAAUGUGAUCCAAUCUUCAAGCUACUUAAAAAACGAGACCCAGGAGAGUGGAAUGAAGAAUGUCAAAUAGCCUUUGAUAAAAUCAAAGAAUAUCUCACAAAUCCACCGGUGUUGGUGCCACCGACGGUUGAAAAACCUCUUAUUUUGUAUUUGACUGUGAACAAGAAUUCUAUGGGAUGUGUACUGGGACAACAUGAUGGAACUGGAAAGAAAGAACAAGCCGUAUAUUACUUGAACAAGAAAUUCACGGAGUAUGAAUCCAAAUACUCUGCGCUGGAACAAAUGUGCUGUGCGUUAACAUGGACUGCCCAGAGGCUCAGACAAUAUAUGUUGUAUCACACAACAUGGUUGGUGGCAAAAUUAGAUCCCAUCAAGUAUAUUUUCGAAAAACCCUUCCUGUCUAGAAGAAUAGUUCGAUGGCAAGUGCUAUUGUCUGAGUAUGAUAUUGUGUAUGUGUCCCAAAAGUCAAUCAAAGGGAGCGCCAUCGCUGAUUUCCUCGCAGAUCAAGCUAAUGAGGAUUAUGAAUAUGUAAGUUUCGAUUUUCCAGAUGAAGAUUUGAUGGUCGUUUUGCACAUAGAAAAGGAUGUUCUCAAUGAAUUUAAUCUAUGGAAGAUGUAUUUUGAUGGAGCAUCCAAUGCUUUGGGGCACGAAAUUGGGGCAGUGUUGGUUUCUCCAAAUGAAAAGUACUAUCCGACCACAACGAGAUUGAAUUUCAAUUGUACUAAUAAUAUAGCUAAGUACGAGGCGUUGGUAAUGAGAUUACAAGCAGCAAUCGAAAUGAAGGCUGACGUGAUAGAUGUUUACGGAGAUUCGACUUUGGUAAUAUGUCAAAUGAGAGGCGAAUGGGAAACUAGAGAUUCUAAACUAGUACCAUAUAAAAAGUUGGUUACAGAAUUAAGCAAACAGUUCAAAGAAAUCAGCUUCAACCACUUGCCUCGAGAAGAAAAUCAGAUUGCUGAUGCUUUGGCCACUCUCACAGCAAUGUUCAGAAUAAAAGAAGCGACUGAUGUACGCCCUUUUGAUUUAGAAGUCCGUGAAGUCUCGCACACUGCUUGAAUGUUGAGGAAGAGGUUGAUAGUAAACCGUGGUAUCAUGAUAUCAUGCAAUACAUCAAGCAUCAGGUAUAUCCUGGGAAUAUCACGGACAAUGACAAGCAAACUCUUAGAAGAUUAGCAAUGGAUUUUUUCCUUAGCAGAGAAGUGCUCUACAAAAAGAGUCAAGAUCAAGUACUUUUGAGAUGUGUGGAUGUUACGGAAGCCAACAAAAUAAUGAAAGAAGUCCAUGAAGGAACUUGUGGAGCUCAUGCUAAUGGACAUAUGUUGGCUAGACAAAUUAUGAGAGCCGAUUAUUAUUGGUUGACGUUGGAAUCCGACUGCAUAAACUUUGCUCGAAAAUGCCACAAGUGUCAAGUUUACGCAGAUAGAAUCCAUGCUCCACCAGCCCCAUUGCACGUUUUCACAGCACCUUGGCCAUUUUCAAUAUGGGGAAUAGAUGUGAUUGGGCUCAUUACGCCAAAAGCCUCUAAUGGACAUUGAUUCAUAUUGGUGGCCAUUGAUUAUUUCACGAAAUGGGUAGAAACAGCUUCCUAUGCCAAUGUGACACAAAAUGUGGUGUGCAGGUUCAUCCAAAAGGAGAUCAUAUGUCGGUAUGGGCUUCUAAAAAGGAUCAUUACUGAUAACAUAAGCAAUUUGAAUGGUGCGAUGGUGAAGGACGUUUGCGCUAAAUUCAAUAUCAAACAUCAUAACUCGACAACUUACCGUCCGAAGAUGAACGGAGCGGUAGAGGCAGCCAACAAAAACAUCAAAAAGAUUGUCGAAAAGAUGACUGAAGUUUAUAAAGACUGGCAUGAGAAACUUCCUUUUUCCUUGCAUGCAUAUCGAACUUCUGUGCGUACCUCCACCGGAGCAACUCCGUACUCAUUAAUAUAUGAUAUAAAAGCAGUUCUACCUGUUGAAGUAGAAAUUCCAUCAUUGAGGGUGUUGAUGGAAACAGAAUUGGAAGAUACUGAGUGGGUCCGCUCUCGAUACGAGCAAUUGAACUUGAUUGAGGAAAAAAUGCUUGCGGCUCUUUGUCACGGUCAGAUGUACCAAUGAAGGAUGAUGCGAGCAUACGAGAAAAAAGUUCGUCCCAAGCAGUUUCGAGAAGGAGAGUUGGUUCUCAAGAGAAUACUCCCUAAUCAAACUGAUUUUCGGGGAAAGUGGAUGCCGAAUUGGGAAGGACCAUAUGUGGUAAAGAAGGCUUUUUCAGGAUGAGCUUUAAUUUUGACUGACAUGGAUGGAGAAGAUUUGCCUAAUCCGAUAAAUGCGGAUGCGGUGAAGAAGUACUAUGCUUAAAAAAAACGAAAGGGAUUCAUGCUGAAAACCCGAAAAGGGCAACUCGUAUCUAAAGGAGGAGGCUCAUGCUGAAAACCCGAAAAGAGUGGCUUGAGGUCGAAAAGCAGGAAGUUGGAGUGAAAUUUAAAGAUGUCAGCCUAAAUGGAGCACAAAAUUGAGGUAGAAAUACACUAUGAAUGGAGCUCCACAAUUUCGCAAAACAGUGAAAGUUAGGGAGUCUGCAAUCUACAUAUUUGCUCAAGGCAUCAAUCAAGGACAAUUCUUGAAAUCGAAUAAUAUAUUGUUUUCUCUGAAUGGUCUGAGUAUUCAUCACUUAAAAAUUUAAUGUUUGCUCUGUAAAUUCUCUUUGCCUUGAAUUAUUUGAUUUCUCAUAUAUGAAAUUCUCCUUCGCCUCUUUAUUUUAACCUUUUCGUUAUUUAUCAUCCCAUGAUUCACAUAGUGAUUGUCAUAGAAAUGAACGAUAACUGGUAAAAGAAAUAAACUAAUUAAGCAAGAAAUUAUACUCAUUGUUCAGCAAAAGACUUAAUGAUGAAGAAAAAGAAUGGCGGAGCCUUAAACUUGGGGCAAAGUCAAAUGUCAAAAGAAAAGGUGUUUAGGGAAAAUCCGGAGUUACCUAAAGCCUCUAGAAGAAAGGCACAAGACGAAGGUCAUUGAAAGCUACAGUGAAAAAAUCGGAUGAAGCAAGGAAAGGGUCUUGGAACCUUAAUGAAUCAUAAACAUGAAAACAUUUCAUCAUGUCAAUCAUGCAUACAUGCCUAGCCAUGCACCCGACAAGAAUCAAAAUUAAUUCAUGUCCCAAGCUUCGAAGGUAGAAAUUCACUCGACCUAAAGUGUUGAGAUUGUAAAACUUUGAUGGAAGGAUUUGAGUUUUUUCAUUUCAUAUUAAUCCAAUUAAGUUAGCAUUAAAGAAUUAAAUCGAACUUGUUGUGAGAUAGGUCGAGCCUAAAUUUAGUUUAGGAAUUUUAAUUUUGUUUAAAUCGAACCUGUUGUGAGAUAGGUCGAGCCUAGAUUAAGUCUAAGAAUUUUAAUUUUGCUUAAAUCGAACUUGUUAUGAGAUAGGUCGAGCCUAAAUUUAGUUUAGGAAUUUUAAUUUUGUUUAAAUCAAACCUGUUGUGAGAUAGAUCGAGCCUAGAUUAAGUUUAAGAAUUUUAAUUUUGUUUAAAUCGAACCUGUUAUGAGAUAGGUCGAGCCUAAAUUAAGUUUAAGAAUUUUAAUUUUUAAAUCGAACCUGUUGUGAGAUAGGUCGAGCCUAGAUUAAGUCUAGAAAUUUUAAUUUUGUUUAAAUCGAACCUGUUAUGAGAUAGGUCGAGCCUAAAUUUAGUUUAGGAAUUUCAAUUUUGUUUAAAUCGAAUAUGUUGUGAGAUAGGUCGAGUCUAGAUUAAAUCUAAAAAUUUUAAUCGAAUAUGGGUCAAGCCUAAAUCAAGUCUAGAAUUUUAAUUUUGUUUAAAUCGAACCUAUUGUGAGAUAGGUCGAGCCAAGAUUAAAUCUAGGAAUUUUAAUCGAAUUUGUUCUAAUAUGGGUCAAGCCUAGAUCGAGUCUAGAAAUUUCAUUUUUAUUUAAAUCGAACUUAUUUUGAGAUAAGUCGAGCCUAGAUCGAUUUGAUUAAAUCAAUUAGCUUCGAGAUAAGCCAAAUGUGGUGUCUACGUCUUUGCACUAUCCUUGAUUCUCAAGAAUGUACAAAGAGGGGCAACUAUAGACACCGAAAAAAAAAUAAAAAAAUUAUAAUAAAAUAAAAUAUAAAAUAAAAUAAUUAAAAAAAAAAAAGGAAUGGCAGGGCGUACGCCCGGCCAUCCCUUCCCUCAACCACCCUGAAUGAUGGGGCUCUAGCUACCAACUCCUUGGUGCCAGAACCCCAUUGCCGGGUUGUCCAAAUUUUUGGACAACCCAGCUUUUAAAAAUCGAACCUGUAAAACCAAAGAGGGGACAGAUAAAAAAAAUCCUAAAUCUACCAGCAGCAAGCUAUCUAGCCACACAAAAAAAAAUAAAAAAAAAAGCAAUCCGAAAAGAACCAAAGAAAAGAAAGCCAAAGACCAGUGCUUGAACAAAGGGGGUUCGAGUAGUGGGUGCAAGGAGGUGAGUUGAUCUGUGUGGUUGUGUUCGGCUGGCGGUGAAUAGAGAAGAGGGUCCGGUCGCAAGGGAAGUGUCGGCACAACGAAGGAAUCGGUGAAGGGAAACCGAUCGGAGGCGAUUAAGGGGUGUAGAUCUAGAUCCGAUUGAUAGGUUUUGGAGAGUAAUAUGGGG